GAGGGUGUAGCUCAACGGUAGAGUGCUCACUUAGCAUGCAUGACAUCCUGGGUUCAAUCCCCAGUACCCCCA
rnacentral:tRNA from 1 species